AAAGAGCACCGAUUUCUUCUUGUAAGUUGGAGAGUUUGCCUUGUCAUCCGUUGGCAUGACAAAGUUCUCCCAGGCCGAAGUUAAAAGGUACAGGUGUGGCCUCACUUUGCCUCCUGUGGGGUGACUUCUGCAGUUGGUGCUGGACAGUCUCGCAGUUUUACAAGGCCCUGGCUUCUUUCCUGCCUUUCAGUACCAGGGAUGGAACUCAGGACCUUGCACUUGUACGGCAGGCGUUGGUGCCACUGAGCUUAAAUUCCCGGCCCUCAUUUCUUACUUCUUUAAUCACGUCCUGGUUGAGUGCAUGACUUUCAUUAUCCACUAACUCCUAUCUCUUUUGAAAAUUGCUGGUACUUACAUUAUACUUAAAUAAAAAUAAUG
rnacentral:lncRNA from 1 species